rnacentral:rRNA from 1 species
AGCUCUCCGAGUUGUAGGGAUGAUUAUUGGGCUUAAAGCGUCCGUAGCCGGCUUAGCAAGUCCUCCGUUAAAUUCAGCGACCUAAUCGUUGAGCUGCGGGGGAUACUACUAGGCUAGGAGGCGGGAGAGGCCGACGGUAUUCUCGGGGUAGGGGUGAAAUCCUAUAAUCCCGGGAGGACCACCAGUGGCGAAGGCUGUCGGCUAAAACGCGCUCGACGGUGAGGGACGAAAGCUGGGGGAGCGAACCGGAUUAGAUACCCGCGUAGUCC